rnacentral:misc_RNA from 1 species
GUUUAAUCCAUUUUUUUCUCCUUUCACAUAGAGGUUUCUGCAGGAGGAUAUGCAGGGAACGCUUCGUUGAUCUUCUUCAACCUCGUGCUCUGUCAGGACAGAAUAAAUCUACUGUAGGUGCAAUUAGAAUAUCCUUCUGGUCUUAUGAGAUGUAAAAAUAUGAAAAUUUUCCGUCUAAAAUUCACUAGGCGAUCUUCAAGCUGUUU